GACGUAGGGCGCGAGCGUUGUCCGGAUUGAUUGGGCGUAAAGAGCUCGUAGGCGGCUCGUUGCGUCGGCUGUGAAAACCCGCAGCUCAACUGUGGGCCUGCAGCUGAUACGGGCGGGCUGGAGUUCGGUAGGGGAGACUGGAAUUCCUGGUGCAGCGGUGAAAUGCGCAGAUAUCAGGAGGAACACCGGUGGCGAAGGCGGGUCUCUGGGCCGAUACCGACGCUGAGGAGCGAAAGCGUGGGGAGCGAACAGG
rnacentral:rRNA from 1 species